CACAGCAUGUCGUUCAACAGCCAUCAAAUGUCCAUCGUCGGUUCUUUUGUCCCCAGUGGACGUUGUUGCAGUGGAAGCAUUGAACACCAUACUGAGGACUACAUCCUGUAACGAAUACAUGCAUCAAUAUACGAAGAGUGGUGGUUCCCAGCCAUUAAAUGCUGUACGAAGAUGGAGAGAAGCUGUCACUCUUCAAAAGUCUCAUGUUUUCUGCCCGCCUGGUCCCAGGAUUAUUCCAUGUUUCUCCUACAUAGCAGCAUUGACACCAGUUUCAGAUGUGUACUGGAGGCUUCAUAAUUGUGCUGCUCGCGCAAGGCGACUGCCGAGCCCGUCACCUACUCGGCAGCCACAGUUUUGCGUCAGCCUCGCGGCUGGUGCUUGCAAGCGCCGCC